rnacentral:rRNA from 1 species
CUUUGGACCGGGAUAACCCCGGGAAACUGGGGAUAAUACCGGAUAACGCACAUAUGCUGGAAUGCUUUAUGCGUAAAAUGGAUUCGUCUGCCCAAGGAUGGGUCUGCGGCCUAUCAGGUAGUAGUGGGUGUAAUGUACCUACUAGCCUACACGGGUACGGGUUGUGAGAGCAAGAGCCCGAAGAUGGAUUUUGAGACAUGAAUCCAGGCCCUACGGGGCGCAGCAGGCGCGAAAACUUUACAAUGCGGGAAACCGUGAUAAGGGGACACCGAGUGCUAGCAUCAUAUGCUGGCUGUCCAGGUGUGUAAAAUACACCUGUUAGCAAGGGCCGGGCAAGACCGGUGCCAGCCGCCGCGGUAACACCGGCGGCCCGAGUGGUGAUCGUGAUUAUUGGGUCUAAAGGGUCCGUAGCCGGUUUGGUCAGUCCUCCGGGAAAUCUGAUAGCUCAACUAUUAGGCUUUCGGGGGAUACUGCCAGACUUGGAACCGGGAGAGGUAAGAGGUACUACAGGGGUAGGAGUGAAAUCUUGUAAUCCCUGUGGGACCACCUGUGGCGAAGGCGUCUUACCAGAACGGGUUCGACGGUGAGGGACGAAAGCUGGGGGCACGAACCGGAUUAGAUACCCGGGUAGUCCCAGCCGUAAACGAUGCUCGCUAGGUGUCAGGCAUGGCGCGACCGUGUCUGGUGCCGCAGGGAAGCCGUGAAGCGAGCCACCUGGGAAGUACGGCCGCAAGGCUGA